AUGCUGCAUACAAGGCAAGGUGUCAAUUCGUGAGAGUGACAAGUGUCCUAGGUCAUGUGCAAUGCACAUGACCAGGUAACUCAAAUUUGAUGACUAACGGUGUUAGAAUUUUGCUUCAGAACCGUUUGCUCUCUCUCUCUAAAUCUCUAUCUUCGUCCAAGAUCUCUCUCUCAUCCUCCGUGCUCAGCCUAGCCACAUCCACUCAUUCCCUCUCCACCGGCCUCACUCCGCCGCGUUUCCACCUUUGUUUGCCACCGCGUCUCCAAGAACCACCGCUUCAGCACCUUCUUUCGCAGAAAUCUCUUUGGUGAAGACGUAUACGACAACUCAGAAUUUUUCAAGAAUGCAGUAGAGGAGACCAUCAUUCUUUAGAGGUUGGGCAGGAUUAAGUCACAUUUGUCUGUAAAGAAAUUGGCGUUGAAACCCUUUCUUUACCUUUCUUCAUUGUGGUGAUCUUAUUGUUUGAAGGUUAUAAAGGGAUCUAUCGUUCAAUUUUAGUUAAGUUUCCUUUCUAGUUUAAUUUAGGUAAUAAGGCGAAAGACUUGGCAGAGUAUGUAUUGUAUUGUUGUAUUGUUCAAUUUUGUCGCAUGAGUGUUCUUGUUCAUUUAUUAAAAAAUCUUUAUAUACCGUACAAACCAAGAGAUGGAAUAAAAUAUAAUUAUUCUUUUCUAAA